UACGUCGGAAUAUAUUGAGACCUAAAGGAAACUGAAAGGAAAAAACCAAGAGAACUGAAACAUCUAAUUAUCUUGAGGAAAAGAAAUAAACAUAGAUUCUAUGAAUAUUGGUGAGAGAAAAUAGAGAAGUAUGAAUAAGUAGUAGGUGUUAAAAGAUCUACGAAAAAGGGAGAACUAAUCCUAAAACUAAAUAUUGUUAGUAAGUGUAAUAAGUACCGAAAGGGAAUAAUAUUAAUAAGUGUAAUUGAGAGCAAUUAUAGGUUAAUAAAAAGAAAUUAAUUGAUAAUGUACCUUUUGUAUAAUGGGUUAGCAAGUUAUAAUGAAUAGCGAAAAUAAAAAGAAUUUGAAAUGAAAAUGAGAAUGAAGUUAUUUGUUAUAGACCCGAAAGUAGAUGAUCUUACCGUAUACAAGUGGUUAAGGUAUAUAUAUAAUAUAUAUAUAUUAAACGACUGAACAGGUUAAUGUUGCAAUAUUAUCUGAAGAUAUAUGGUAAGUGGUGAAAGACAAAUCUGAUCUACAGAUAGCUGGUUCUUUGUGAAAUAUAUUUUAGUAUAGCGUUAAGAAAUGUAUUAAUAUGGUAAAGCAAUUAAUAAUAAUUGGGGUAUUGUAAUAAUAUUAUCAAUAUUAUUUAAUCUCAGAAUAAUAUAAAUAUGAAAAUUAAACGUCAGACUGUUAGUGAUAAGAUUGGCAGUCGAAAGGGAAACAGCCCAGAUCAAAAAUGAAAGUUCCAAAUAAAUAAUUAAGUAUAAAUAAUAUUUAUUAAUCGUAAAACAAUAAUGGGAUUAGUUUGACAGUAAUUAUUCUAUGAUCAACGUGUAACAACGGGUUUAUUAUAUGUAAAUGAGAAUUUAUAUAAGAACCCCCUCCGGGGGUUCCAAUAUAAACUAGUUUAUAUAAGGUUAAUAGAUAGAUAAUAAUCGGAAUUAAAAUAAUUAACUGAAAUUUUGAAUAAUAUAAUUAAAAAAAUAAUAGUUAUAUUAAGGUAACAAAGCAUUUAAUGAAGAGAUAUUCUAAUAAAUUUAGAAUAAAAAAGAUAGUAUAUAAAAAAUUAAUUAAAUUAAUAAAAUGUAUAAAAAAAAGGAAAAAAGAAAUCGAAUUAAAUAGAGAAUGCUGACAUGAGUAACGAAUAAGAGGUAUAAUCCUCUUCACUUUAUGUAUUAGGUUUUAAUAAAAAAUCGGUCCAUAAGGUUUAUUCUGAAAAGAAUAAAUUAAUAGGUAAUAAAUAAAUAUAUUAAAGCCCAUAUAAAAUAAAUAACCCUUUUUGGGGAAAGAUUAUGUAUGGUACAGGAAAAAAAUAUAUAAAAAAUACCGUAAUAAAACCGACACAGGUAUACUAAUAAAAAAUGAAAGUGAAUAAGUUAAUUAUUCUAAAUGAACUCGGCAAAACAAAAGCUCUGACGUUAGUCAAAAAGAGUGAAUAAAGUACAUGUUAUGCGACUGUUUACCAAAAACACAGCACUUUGCAAAAACGAUAAGUAUUAGAAUAAAGUGUGAAUUCUGCCCAAUGUUUAAUAAUAAAGAAAUAUAUUAAAUGAUAUAUUUAUAAAAUUUAAGUAAAUGGCGGCUUUAUACUGAGAGUCAUAAUGUAGCGAAAUUCCUGUUUGAGGAUGUAGGAAGUCCUCUUUUAAUGGGUGUAAACUAUCAAACUACGGGAACACCUUAAAGCUUAUAUCACCAAGCUACAAUGGAAACGUUGUAAGUGGCUGAAGUAAU
rfam:Pichia membranifaciens DNA, contig: CON215, strain: KS47-1.